UGUUAGGGCACGACACCGGAGAGGGAGCCUGAGAAACGGCUACCACAUCCAAGGAUGGCAGCAGGCGCGCAAAUUACCCAAUCCCGACACGGGGAGGUAGUGACAAUAAAUAACAAUACGGGGCUCUUUAGGAUCUCGUAAUUGGAAUGAGUACAAUUUAAAUCUCUUAACGAGGAACAAUUGGAGGGCAAGUCUGGUGCCAGCAGCCGCGGUAAUUCCAGCUCCAAUAGCGUAUAUUAAAGUUGUUGCAGUUAAAAAGCUCGUAGUUGAAUUUCGGGGUUAGUAGGUUGGUCAUGCCUCUGGUAUGUACUGGUCUCACUGAUUCCUCCUUCCUGAUGAGCCGUAAUGCCAUUAAUUUGGUGUUGCGGGGAAUUUGGACUGUUACUUUGAAAAAAUUAGAGUGUUUAAAGCAAGCUAACGCUUGAAUACAUUAGCAUGGAAUAAUGAAAUAGGACGUUCGAUCCUAUUUUGUUGGUUUCUAGGAUUGACGUAAUGAUUAAUAGGGAUARUUGGGGGCAUUAUAUUCAAUUGUCA
rnacentral:rRNA from 1 species